UGACUAAUAACAUUUUAGGAUAAUUACAUCUCAACAAACUGCUAAAAUAUACUUGUCCUCUAACAAAGAACUUUAUUCUUUGUAAAUCUGUAGUUAUCCAAAGUCAAGCAAAUGCAUAGAAUGUUGCAGAUGUAAUGCAAAGGGUACAGGAAAAACAAAUUUCAGAAUAAAGCAACAUGGUAGAGCAGUCACACAAUGUGGCACUGGCUGAUCUAGAGCCAUGGCGAAGGCACUCAAACAGCUUGUGUGUGGGUGGACAGUAAAAGUAGGGCAACAAGAUGAGAAGAGAAAUAUGGCUAUAGAUUACAUAAGAAUGAAGAGAAACCCAGAGGUGUUGCAGAAUAAAGCUACUUUUAAUAUUUAUUUAAAAAAGUAAAAAUGGAUUUAACCCCCAGAGAUACGGUAUCUAUGGAAUGUAAUUCACUCAAACAAAAUAUAAUAUUAAAGUUUUUAAUAUCUCAGAAUUGGACAACUUGUGCACCAGGAACGUUUAUAGUAGGUGAACCACAGAAUGUGGUUAUUAUGUUAAGUUUUAUCUUUUGACCACUUAUACACUACAGUAAAAAAUCAUUUCAAUUACUAAUGCUUUACCCAAGGUUUUGUGGUAUCCCUGCUCAUGUUGGUAACACAUACCUUUAAAUGAAACUGAUUCACACAAAUGUUGAUUAACCCCAGAAAACAUUGUAAAUUAAUUUCAAGCAAAAUCAUACACUGUAGAAGCCAUAUUCAGAGUAGAAUUCAUACUGAAAUUGUACACAUUGGUAGUCAAAUCUGAGACAUAACCACAGAUGACUUGGGUGCUACAGACUUUGCUGCUCAGACAGUUGCAGUGAGUUGUGUGCAUGGGGUGGAGUUUGCUGAAAAUGGUGGAGUGUCACAGAAACACAUUUUGGCAUAUGAAUUGUCCCAGGAGAGGCCACAAUUUGUUUAUUUGAUGUGCACAGAAAAGAUCAGAGGAGACAGCAUAUUAAUCUGAGGUAAUAUCUAUAGAACUGAAUUUCAUAUGGCAUGUUGGUUUUUACAUUGAAUUCAGGAACCCCAUCUACUUAAAGUGAACUUUAAAGUGAGCUUUAGGAACUCCAUCUACUUAAUGUCAGUUUAAAGCUCUGUCCUGAAAGCUUUAAGCAAGAAAAUCUGCCAACUUUGGUGUUAACAUGGAUAAUUUGAAUACUGAUAUAAAUUAUGAACGUCCUUACUCUGAAUAUAGCCGCAUAGUUAUUAGGUUGAAAAAUGCUGAACAGUUUCUUUAAUAUGGAUUAUUAACUGGUGCAAAAAAUGUAGUCCAAUUUUGUGCAGUUAAAUCUAAAAAUCAAAAUCAUACCGCACAGCUGUCCCUCAGGGCAUCAAACUUUCUUUGGAUUUCAUCCCGGUGAGCCUUAAAAAACAAAACAAAACAAAAAAGCCACAUCAGUUACAUCCAAGAAUGGGGAAGCGUGCACUUCAAGAGCCCACAGAACUCUAUGGUGAAUGUUGCAAAACUAGAGAUUCAGCAUUUCAAGAGUAUAGUGAGUAAAACUAUGCAGGGUGAAUGCUAGGCAUACAUUCAGGCCCAUAAAUAUUUAAACACUGACAAAAUUAUUGUUAUUUUAGCUGUCUACCACAUUAAAUAAUGACUAUGAGUAAUAUGAGUGAAUGAAUAUAAAGUGAAGACCUUCAGCUUUAAUUUGAGAUUAUUUACUACAUCCAAAUUGGGUGAACAGUGUAAGAAUUACAGCAAAUUUUAUAUGUGGUGUCACCCACAUACAAAAUAAUUGGACCAUUGGCUGCUCAGCUGUCCCAGAUGUGUGAAAUUUUCCUCAUUAUUUCACAUGCAGAUUAGAGUUGAUUUCAAGUGUAGCACCUGCACUUGGAAACUGUUGCUGUUAAUUCUCAAAAUGAAGUCCAAAGAGUGGUCAUUGCCAGUGAAGCAAGUCAUCCUUAGGCCAGAAAAAUCAAAACAAACCAAAUAAAAGAGAUAGCAAAAAAAUUAGGUGUGGCCAAAUCAAAUAUUUGCUACAUAAAAGAAAGAAUGCUCUGGUGAGCUCAGGGACACCAAGAGGCCCAGUCAUCCACCACAGAAAACAUUUGUGGUAGAUGACAGAAGAAUUCUUUCCCUGGUGAAGAAAAAAAAAAAAAACAGUAACAGUUGUGCAGAUCAAGAACACCCUCCAGGACAUAGGCAUAUAUGUGUCAUCAACAAUUUAGAGAACUUUUCACCAGAGUCAAUACAAAAAUGAUGCCACAUAAUUUAAACCAUUGUAAGCCUCAACACUAGGAAGACCAGGUUAGAGACAUCAUCCUAUGGAUAGAGGAGACAAAGAUCAACUUGUACCAGAAUCAUGGGAAGAGAAGAGUAUGGAGAAGGGAAGGAACUGCUCAUGAUCUGAAUCUUACCACCUCAACUUAUGCCGUGGGCAUGGCUGCGAGUAGAACUGAUUUCUUUAUAUUUAGUGUUGAUGUAAAAGCUGGCAAAAGCAGCAAGAUACAUUAUUAAGUGUAUAGGGCUACAUUAUUUGAUUAGAUUCACACUUGCUGAAGGAAAAACUGAAAUGCCCCAAGAACAAACUUGACCUGGGAAGAAGUUUCACCAGGGAAGAAACUCAGGGUCUAGUGAUGCCUAUAUCUUCCAGACUUCAAGCAGUCAUUGGAUAAAACGAUUUGUGACCAAGUGAAUGACAAUUUAAUUUAUGAUCAUGUAAGUUUUUCAAAUUACUUUUGGUCCCAUAAAUAGGGGAAGGAAAAAAAGCUAAAAUAACAAUAACAUUGUCAAUGUCCAAAUCUUUGUGGACCUGUCUGUAUUUCACUUGAUAGUGUAAUAAAUAUGUAGGUUCAAUUCAAUUCAACCGAAUAUUAUUUUAUUUAUUUGUAUAUUUAUUUACUUUUAACAAUGGAUAUUGUCACAAAGCAGCUUUAUAGAAAUCUGGAUAUAGCGUCUAUAUCCAGAUUUAUAUAAAGCUGCUUUGUGACAAUUUAGAUCUCAGUCUGUUCUAUUGAGUAUUAUAGAUACAGUCAUGUGAAAAAAAUAAGUACACCCCAUGGAAAUUGACAUCAGCAUGCUGGAAUUUUUGACCACUCUUCCAUGCAAUAUUCUUUCAGUGGCAAGAUGUUUGAUGGUUUUCUUGCCUGUACUCUCUUUUUCAAAUCCCCCACAACAUUUCAAUGGGAUUCAAAUCUGGACUUUGACUAGGCCAUUCCAUAACCCUCCAUUUCUUCUUUAUGAGCCAUUCCUUGGUGGAUUUGCUAGUGUGCUUAGGUCAUUAUCCUGUUGAAAGGUCCACUUUCAGUUCAACUUCAACUUUUGGACAGAUGGCCUCAGAUGGCCUUCAAGCACUCUUUGAUAUGAUGCAGAAUUCAUAGUUGAAUCAAUGAAUGCAAGCUGUCCAGUCCCUGACGCAGCAAAGCAACCCCAAACCAUAACAUUCCCACAGCUGUGUUUCACAGUUGGUAUGAAGUGUUUCGACUGAAAAACACCUUGUGUUGUUCUAAUGUUCUUUUUAGAGAGUAAAGGCCUUUUCCUGGCACACUUCCCAUGCAGGUCAAACUUGUGCAAUCUCUUUCUGAUUGUAGAAGCAUGCACUUUGACACCAACAGUUGCAAGACUUACUAGCAGAUCCUGUGAAUAAAUUUUGGGGUUCUUGGAAACUUCUUUUUGCAUCAGAUGGCCUUCUCUUGGGCUGAAUUUGCUGGGACAACCGAUCCUGGACAAAUUGGCAGUCGUUUGAAAUCUGCACUACUUGUAGAUGAUUUUCCUUAUAGUGAAAUGAUGCAUUUCAAAUAAUUUGGAGAUCUUUUUAAAUCGCUUGCCAGACUCAUAGGCAUCCACAACCUUUUUUCUGAAGGCCUUACAGAACUCUUCUCGGCAUGAUGACACCACACACCUCCAUAGCAAAGGGAACACCAGACACUAGAUAUGAGAGGGGUAUAAAUAACCAGGUUCUAAUCAAUGGAACCCAAUCUUGAAGACCUGAUUCUAAUUUUAUGGAUUUGAAGAUGUGAUAAAUGUAGGGGUGUACUUACUUUUUCCUUGUGACUGAUCAGAUUUGUUUCUUUUUUUGUUAAUUUAAAAAUUGUGAAAAUUUCUAAAAAAAUUUUUUUUCAAUUUUAUGUCAUUUGAUAGUGUAUCAACUUUUAUUAAUAGGCACUGUUUCAAAGAGGAUCAAAUGUUUGCUUGUCCAAAUAUGCACAAAACAAAACAAACCAGCCCCCCCCCCCCCCAAUUUCCAUUUGGUGUACUUAUUUUUUUUUAAUGACUGUAUGUCAUACUUCUUGCCCUUGAUCUCCAACGUUAAUUGUUUUUUAUUUAAUACACUUUAUCUUACCCGGAGAACAGUGAUUUCCUCCUCUGCCUCAGCAGUGGUCUCUUCUAGCUCUGUCUUGGCCUGCUGUAACUGGCUUUCCAAGGCAUGGCGCGCAGCCUGCAGACUGCUGAUCUGAGACUCUCUCUCCUGUAAUGACAGUGUCAGCUCUGACACUUGCCUCUUUAAAUCCAGCUUCUGCUCCUCAUGUUCCAGGCCGAUCUAAAGAGGUAAAGGGAUUUUUAUUAAGCAUAAUUAUGUGCCACAAUUUUUCUGUUGUGUUUUAUUUCUAUGUUCAAUCCCUUCAUUAAGAAAGUCUUUUUGUCAAUAGGGAAAUUAUGAAUUGUUAACAGUAACUGAUGGGUGUGCAAAGACCUCCACGUAUCAAUAGAAGUGAAUUUGAUCAUUAAUGAAAACUGAUGGAAUGAAAACUACAUAUAAUCAGUAUAAUAAUAAUAAUCAAUAAUCAGCUGAUAGUUUAAAAACAUCCGAUGAUCAGGGCCGAUUAUAUCCUGUCAAUCAAAAGAGGGCGGGAAAACAUCGAUUUCGUGUUUUUUGUAAAGAUGAUGUCUCUUGUGUGGAAUGAUGACAAAACUGCAUUUUGUAUUCUUUGUAAUCUCUGCACUGCUAAAAUUUUACACCGGAAGUUGCAGCAGUGAAGCGGGAGUUUUGGCGUCGAGUCCAAUAAUUUUUUUUCCCCCCGCGUUGCUCGAGCUGAGUUAAAGUGCCAGUACAAGGUCAAAAGAUUUAUAUAAAGAGGAGUUGACAAAAAAGUAGCUAUAUAUAUAUAUAUAUAUAUAUUGCACAUAAAAUAUAUUUGUAGAGUAGCGUAUUUCAUAUCCAGUUAAUGUUAAUAUAUAAAAAAAAUUAUUUUAUAUUAUAUAUUAUACCAGUUACUUCAAUGAUGAAACAGAAAUGUGUUUGUUUGUGGUGAGUGAAUGUGAAAGUUUUUUUUAGAAUUCAGUCAAUUAAUUAUGUUAAUAUGAAUUAAUAAAAUUCAAUAAGUUAAGAAAUCUUAAUUUAAUCUUCAGAAUUUAGUUAAUGUGUUCUUGUUAAUUUGAGUAAUGUGUUUUCUGUUUAUGAGACCAGUUACUGUGAAACAACUUGUUGAAAUGGAAAGAAUAAAGUUAUUAUUUGCAUUUCUUUCAGAAUUGUGGAAUUAAUUAUUAUUAAUUUAAAAGAAGGCAUAAAAGGCAGAACUAUCGGUAUCGGCCGAUGUCACUCUGAAUAAUCGGUUAUCGGUAUCGGCUGAGAAAUUUUGUAUCAGCGCAUCUCUAAUUGUCACGUAAUCCACAUAAAGAGGAUUUAGGAACAAUGCAAUCACAGUUAAGAGCUUUAUUAAAGAGAGGCAGGCAGAUAAAUCCAAAUCGUGAGACAAUAGAAUGAACGAAAUAACAGGCAAGGGGUCAGGCGAUCAACAUACAGGCAUAAACGAGGCAAGGCAAGAAUCGAAAAAGAGUAACGAGAACUAGGUCAAAACCAGAAUAAACAAUCACGGAAUCAAGGCUUGGAAAUGACAGAGACAAUGAAACUGCUACAAGACAUUGUGAAUGAGCAGUCUCUGUUAUAGUGUGGUGUGAUUGUGAGUGUGAUUGGGAACAGGUGUGUCUGACUAGUGUUCCGGAGAAGGUGAACAUGUGUGUGUGUGGGAAGUGUAGUCCACAGCGGCCAUGUUUGCAGGCCGCAAUGCAGGAUGGGAAAUGUAGUCACUGGUUUGCUGUGACAUGACACUAAUAAGGAACCAACGAUAAUUUCACCUAGGUUAGAACCUUGUGAGAUGCCACAUAUUAUUGAUUGUUGGAAAUGUUUCAUGUUUUUUUUUCUUCUCAUCUACCAAUACUGAAUUUGUUUCUGAUUUUAUAAACCUCAUUUGUUCAUUUACUUCAGCAACUGCUUUAUAAUGGUCAGGUAUCUGUGGCCUAUUCCAGGAACACUUGGAGUGAGGUGGGAAUACACCCUGGAAAGAAUGCUUCCACAUUGCAGUACAUACCCCCCUACACACACACACACACACACACACACACACACACACACACACACACACACACACACACACACACACACACACACCUACCUUAUUUGCACCUACAGUCAAUUUAGCAUAGCCAAUCCAACUACAAGCAUGAUUUCUGGAAGUAGGAGGAAACCAGAGAACCUUCUAGAAUCUUACAUGAACAUAGGGGGGAUAUCCUCUGCAAAUACUGUAACCAGAGCUCAGGAUUGAAUCACUGACCAAUGAUAAAUCAGUGGCAAUAGUACCGACUGCGCCAGUGUGCCACCUCAAUUACAGUCCCCUCUGAAAAUAUUGGAGCAGCAAGGUCUUUUUGUGAUAUAAACUGAAGACAUUUGGGUUUGAGAUCAAAGCAUGAAUAUGAGAUGUUAUAUCAGAAUUUCAGCCCCCCCCCCCCGAUAUUUACAUCUGCAUGUGUUACACAACUAAGAGCAUGGUAUCUCUGGUGGCAGAACUGUUCUUUUGGUGAUCAAAAUAUUGGAACAGCCUAUAUCCUCUGACAUCAACUGUUGCAUUUUUCUUUGUGAUGCCUUUCCAGGCUUAUACUGCAGCUUCUUCUUUUUUUGGGGGGGGGGUCGUUCAGUUUCCCUUCAGGAGGUGAAUUGCAUGCUCAGUUACUUUACGGUAUGAUGACUGACUUGGCCAGUCUAAAACCUUGCAAUUUUUCCGCCUGAUGAAGUCCUUUGUUAUGUUAGCAGUGUCUUUUGGGUCAUUGUCUUGCUGCAUGACGAAGUUCUUCCCAAUUAGAUUGGAUGCAUUUCUCUGUAAAUUGGCAGAUAGAAUGUUUCUAUAGAUUUCUGCAUUCAUUCUGCUGCUACCAUCAUUAGUUACAUUAUCAAUAAAGAUUAGUGAACUCGUUCUAGAAGCAUGCAUGCAAGCCCAUGCCAUGACACUAUCUCUACCGUGCUUGACUGAUGAGCUUAUUUGUUUUGGAAUAUUACGUAUUAUUAAUAUAUAAUAUAUAUUAUUACAAUUACAUAUAUCUGACAGUAAAGAGUUUCAGAGUCGUGGAGCAGCACUGCUAAAGGAUCUGGACCCCAUAGUCAGACGAACCGAAGUCAGACGAACCGAAGGUAUCACAAGAGAGAGAGAGAGAGAGAGAGAGAGAGAGAGAGAGAGAGCGAGAGAGAGA